GUGAUGUUAACUCCUAGAUAUUUUAUUGAUGUUAAAAAUUGGAGUUCCGUAUUUUUCAAGGUGUAUUUAAAUGAUGUUGUUUUCUUCUUGCGACUCCAUGUCAUCAUGUUGCAUUUAACUGGUUGAAAUCUCAUUCCCCAAUCUGUCGCCCAGUUACCUAGGGUAUCAAUAUCCUUCUGUAGUUCAGCACAGUCAUCUUCAGUAUUAAUUUCUCUGUAGCAUACACAGUCG
rnacentral:lncRNA from 1 species